GCUCCCGAAGUUAGAGAACAUCUUGCUGAAAACCGACAUGACCAAGGUCAACGUACUGAACUAAAUUCUCGACGAGUUGCCGAAAAAGAAAUUCGGGAACAACGAGAGGAAAACAGGCUCAAGGAAAGAAGCCGAAAUCAACAAGACUCCCGACGAAUUAUUGAUGCGCCAGAAACUCGUGAUGAAAACCGACGAGAACGAGAAAAUACUUUCAAUACACGACGGGAAUCGCUACAAAAUAAAAGCAAUCGUCGCAACAUUGAAGAAGAGCACCAAGAAACGCCAAGCCUAUUGCUAAAGAAAGGAUAUUUAAUUAUAGGCCAAGGUUUUAUUUUGGCCUUUGUUAUUGCUCAAUCAUUAAAUGGCAAAAGGGAAUUCCAAUACCAAAACAUACCUCAGAAAUUGCGCCAAGCUGUUGGCUUGGUUGGAUUUUAAGCACCUCCAUGACUUGACCCGAGCAUACGAACCUCAGAUGACAAUUGGCAAUGUAUUAAGCACUACUGUACAUAGUUACUUUUGUUGUUUAUAUUAGUGAUGAAGUUAUAGAAAGGAAAAUGUGUACCUAAAAGCAAAAUUGAUAUAGUCAUAUACAUACAUAACGAUACUAUAUAGUUAACCCAUGUUACUUAAUGUAUAAUUUAAACAUAAAUAUAAAUAUAUAGUUGUGAGCAACGAGUUUAACUGAUGCAGCAGGUAUACAAUUAUUAUGUGUUAAUUUAAAACUAACGAAAAAUAUUUUAUGAAAAUAAAUAAUCCGAUAUGCAAUGUUA